AUGGUCGCUUUCCGAGAUGUACUGGAAGUAUGCGGAUUGGUGGACCUUGGCUUCUCUGGCAUUCCGUUUACCUAUGAUAAUUUGCGUGCGGGGGCGAACAAUGUCAAGGUUCGUCUAGACAGGGCUACAGCAACAAAUACAUGGCGUAAUAUUUUCCCGUUUUACUCAGUUCAACAUGUUGUCUCCCCUUGCUCUGACCAUGUGGCACUAGUGCUGAAGGGUGCUCCAGAUUCAGGGCGCCAGGGUCCCAAAGUGAGGCGUUAUGAGGUGUUUUGGGAGAGAGACAUGUCUUUACCAGAUGUAAUCAAGGAGGCAUGGGAUUCUAUGGGCUGCGUGAAUAAUCUGGAGAAUCUGCAUGUUGCCCUAAGCAAGACUCUGGCUACUCUGAGCGCUUGGGGUAAUAAGAGUACUUUCAAGGUAUAUUCACGGCAGAUAGUAUUGGAGUGGUACAUUCUAAUUUUGACGAGAUGGCCACUAUGGCAAAAGAGUACUUUCAAGGUAUAUUCACGGCAGACACGACGUUGGAUGCUUCGUGGGUGCUCAAUUUGUUUGAAUCAAAAGUCACGGACCAGGAUAAUGAACGUUUGUGUGCCCCUUUUGGUGACAAGGAGAUCUCGGACGCAUUAUUUCAGAUUGGCCCAUUGA
rnacentral:rRNA from 1 species